UACGUAGGCAGCGAGCGUUGUUCGGAGUUACUGGGCGUAAAGGGUGUGUAGGCGGUUGUUUAAGUUUGGUGUGAAAUCUCCCGGCUCAACUGGGAGGGUGCGCCGAAUACUGAAUGACUAGAGUGCGGGAGAGGUGAGUGGAAUUCCUGGUGUAGCGGUGAAAUGCGCAGAUAUCAGGAAGAACACCCGUGGCGAAGGCGGCUCUCUGGGACGGUACUGACGCUGAGACGCGAAAGCGUGGGGAGCGAACAGG
rnacentral:rRNA from 1 species